UGCCUACAUCUUUGUAAAAGCUUUCAAAAUAUACAAAUACCGUGUAUGUUUUACAUGUACAUUGUACAUAACUCCUGUUAAUCAAACUACUAGCUAUUAUACUUUAUAUUUAAAUUAAGUACCCUUAAUGCAGAAAUUAUUGCGAUUUUUUUAUUAUUGCGAAAAAUUCGACAGGGUUAUAAUCGCAAUAAUUUGAACUUUCAAUUUGAAUUCUUUUAUAUGAAUUAAACAAUUAAAUUUUUCUCAAUAUCACAAAAAUUAAAAUCACAUUUUAGUCUAAAUUGAUAAAUCGCAACAAUAAAAGCACACAAUAAUUUCUGAAUUGACAGUACUUAUACAAGUCUUAAUGCAGUGUAUACUAUCUUAUAGAUAAUAAUACAGAAAUAUAGAAAAUCGGUGUUGUUUUGCUUUUCCGGUGGGUGUACAAGUUUAUGAGGUGAUUAAAAGUUUGUAUCCUUAUACAUACAAGUUAAAAUUUGAGUGUUCAUUCUGUGUUGAUUCAGCUCAAUUGGAAAAAAAAUCCUUUAAAUUCUUAAUUUUUGUAGUCGUGACUUUUUGACAUUGUUCUUGAUUGUAUUUUUUGUGUGUAAUUUUUUUAAAGAAAUUGCAGUCCAUAUAUAUAAAGAAUGAACUUUCAUAAAAGUUAUGUAUACAUAUUCUCUUCUUUUUUGCAUGUUGCUCAGGUUUAGCCAAUGCAGAACUAUGGUCCAUAUAUGACCAUAUUCUAUUUACCAUGAAAGAGGGUAUUAUUGUCAUAUCAGCAUCUUCUACAUGAUAGUGGUCAUUUACUUUUAAAUCUAUAGAUGUUUGCACUUGCAAUAAUAUAAAGAAAUAAGUAGAGGAUUAAAUUCACAAGGGUCAGAAUUUUAAUUUCUAUCUUUUUUUAAUCGGGAUAAAAUACUGUAUAUUUUACACAAAUACAUUCGUGAUAUCAAAAUAAAUUCAAAAUAACUUUUUUUGUAAAUUAACAUUAUUAAUUAUGAAUUUAUGAUUCUUAUUAAAUCAUAUUUUAUUUAUAAGGUUGUAACAACUUUUUGUAAUAAUAAAUAAGUUUUAAGCAUAUAUAUACAAAUUUAACUUCAACAACUGUUGUGUAUAACAAUGUACAUAA
rnacentral:lncRNA from 1 species